AUGGCUGCUGCGGUAAAGUUCGGCAAAGUGGGUUUUUUUUUAGGAAGUGGUGUGAUCGUACGUAGUCGUUCUAAAGGUAUAUAUCAAAUGGGCCCUUACAGUUAUGGGUUAUGCUCGGCAGUCGACACGCCAGCACCAACGUGUCAAAGUCAGAAUUUGUGUCAAACGCUGCACGUGAACUGUGGGCCCAUCAGAGUCCACUUACCUGCAAUUCUAAGGCCGGCCCGGGCGACAAAUCACUCCCAGGCCUCCAUCUUGCUCGCCUUUUCGCCAUCUCUCGCUUUCUGCCAUGUUGGAACCAAAAUGUCCCCUACACAAGUAAUAAUUUUUUACCAACCAUACAUACAGUUUGGACGGGCAGAAAUAACUUUCGUUUUUGCGGGGGCCAAAAUAGCACUUCACCAUCGACGAAGAAUCUUGGAUGAUUUUGUGGCUCCAGCUUUCAAACGCAGGGCACUCCGCCACUCCGGAGCACGCCUAGUUUUGAAGCCAGAAAUGGAGAAGCUAGAUACUCCUCCGUCCCAGAACAUAAGGUGUAUCAAUUUUUGUGGAAAUCAAACUUAUUUAUGUUUGACCAAGAUUAUGAAAUAA
rnacentral:rRNA from 1 species